rnacentral:rRNA from 1 species
GUUGGUGAACCAGCGGAAGGAUCAUUGCUGGAACGCGCUUCGGCGCACCCAGAAACCCUUUGUGAACUUAUACCUAUUGUUGCCUCGGCGCAGGCCGGCCUCUUCACUGAGGCCCCCUGGAAACAGGGAGCAGCCCGCCGGCGGCCAACCAAACUCUUGUUUCUACAGUGAAUCUCUGAGUAAAAAACAUAAAUGAAUCAAAACUUUCAACAACGGAUCUCUUGGUUCUGGCAUCGAUGAAGAACGCAGCGAAAUGCGAUAAGUAAUGUGAAUUGCAGAAUUCAGUGAAUCAUCGAAUCUUUGAACGCACAUUGCGCCCUCUGGUAUUCCGGAGGGCAUGCCUGUUCGAGCGUCAUUUCAACCCUCAAGCCUGGCUUGGUGAUGGGGCACUGCCUGUAAUAGGGCAGGCCCUGAAAUCUAGUGGCGAGCUCGCCAGGACCCCGAGCGUAGUAGUUAUAUCUCGCUCUGGAAGGCCCUGGCGGUGCCCUGCCGUUAAACCCCCAACUUCUGAAAAUUUGACCUCGGAUCAG